GACGGAGGAUGCAAGUGUUAUCCGGAAUCACUGGGCGUAAAGCGUCUGUAGGCGGUUUAAUAAGUCAACUGUUAAAUCUUGAGGCUCAACCUCAAAAUCGCAGUCGAAACUAUUAGGCUAGAGUAUAGUAGGGGUAAAGGGAAUUUCCAGUGGAGCGGUGAAAUGCGUAGAGAUUGGAAAGAACACCGAUGGCGAAGGCGCUUUACUGGGCUAUUACUAACACUCAGAGACGAAAGCUAGGGUAGCAAAUGGG
rnacentral:rRNA from 1 species